UCUGGUUAUAUAUGUUUAUUAGUUGUAGUCUUGCCGCACUGUCCGAGUUCUAUGGAAAUUAAAUGCCUUGCUUCUAGAUUUCUAAUUUAUGUGAGUUGGAGAGAUGUGUCAGCUAGGUUUUACCUCACCGCUCAGAUGUGGUGGCUAAUAUUCUACUUUGACUUGCAGGAAAGGAAGAUAUCUUUGGUGUCAACUGCUGGGCAAAGCUUGAGAUUGGCUGACUACUGUUGUCUUCUGUUUGCAGCGUCCUCCAACCAUAGGUUCAGUUCCUUGUCUGCUGCAGCCCCUGCUUUAACGAUGGUUGUGUGCUUCAGAUGUAUUAUGAACCAAGCUCAGGUUUCAGGUUUUACUUUACUGAAACUUUCAGUUGCAUGUACGGUGUAGCUGAUUUUUUAUUCACAUUAAAUUUUAUGUGUGAUCAGUUUGCUGCACUAAUUAUAUAAACAUACUCUUAGAGAUAACUUGUGUUUGAUUAUGGAAUACUAAUUGAUAUAAUUAAUUUGGGAAUUUCAUAUCAAGAUUUCUCUUUGGAAGAAUGAAUAUCAGGAUUGUGGUAGCUUGAUUCGUUCACUUUUCUUUGCACUGUAGCACACUUGCACAUCCUCUGAUUUUUCUAUAGAUGCUAUUGAUGCCAUAGUUCCUACUUUAGACUGCUUCCUCACAAUUCAUCUAUAUAGCCUUCUUGAUCCACCCCCAAUGCUCUGCCCUUGGUUUAAGGAACUAAAUGAUAUCAUUGUGUAUGUAGCAUGCAUCGGCGAAAUUCAACUUAGAUAACACGUAAUGUUAUUUUUUUUGGGAUUAACGCAUUUCAUCUCUGCCAAAACAUAUGUUAGAAAAAAAUUCCCUAAGACAUUUAUGUGGAAGUUUAUAUCAUGAUCUAGCUGUUUGAAUUGAUGUUGCUUCCUAGCUUUACUUUGAUUUCAAUAAAGAAUAAUCAACAUGGUCAAUUAUUCUUUUGUUGGGAGAACACUACUACAUAAAAUAUUUUGCAUGACCAAGGGAGGCGGGCAGAUUUUUCAAAACAGCCUCGGAGGCGGGCAGAUUUUUCAACCGCGUCGGAUAAUGUCUCCGAUUAACCGAUUCUUAUUAACCGAGACGGUCAUAAAAAACCGCCUCGCAAAAUCGAUUUACCAAGGCGGUCACCUUAAGACAACCGUCUCCAAAAAUAGUAUAUUUUAGGAGGCGGUUGUCUUAUAACAACCGCCUUCGUAAAUCUAUUAACCGAGGCGGGCGCGCUAUACGGCCCGUUUGAGAAAAUAGUGGCCCAACAGGCAGCCCAUCUUAGCCCAGUAUCACUCAUCAUAUAUAAACGUAGAGCAAGGGUUUCUUCUCCCUCUCACUCCCUCCCUCAGACCAACGCCGGCCCCUUCCCCUCCCCUUCUCUCAUUAGAUCCAGCAGCGCCGGCCCCUUCCCCUCCCCUCCUCUCUAGAUUCAGCGGCUCCCCCUCCCGGCCUCCCCUCCCCUCCCCUUCUUUCCUACUCUCUUUGGAUUCAGCGGCGCACGAGGAUGGCCAUGGCCUAGGCCCACGCACGGGGGUCCUUCAAGGUGGCGCAUGGGGCGGCCAUGGAGCGGGGGCUCCUCCUGGCCGUGCGUGGGGCGGCCCAGCGCCUCCCGGCUGCAAUGCAGGGUGGCUCGACCAUCCUGGCAGCGUGGAGCAGCAGCGGUGGCGGCCAUGGCUCUGCUCGAUGCUCACGCGCCCAACGAUUCCUCCACCUCUAGGUCACACGUCGGCGGUCUCGGGGCUCGCGUAUCUGGCCUCGGUGCUCAUGGAUCCAGCGAGGUUGUCAGUGGCAACGAGUGACAACAACGGCCCGUGGAUGGGCUUGGCAGGUGACUUGAUGGGCUUGUCGGGCCUGUCUAUGGGUUUUCUAUUUUUUUGUUUUUUGUUUGAUUAACCGAGGCGGGCACUUUAACCGCCUCGGAAAAGGUUUCAUUUAGUGUGACCUUUCGUUCGAGGCGGUUGCAUUGUCCGCCUCGGUUAAUCAUUUUUGCCUGCCUCGGUUAAUUUUUUGUGUAGUAGUGAAAUCUAUAGUUCCUGCUCUUGGCAUAAUUAACCCAAGGUAAUCAGCAGUCUACUACUUUCCAUGCUUUGGGGCCUACAUAUGGGUCCAUGCUAGGCUGUCAGAGUUCACACUUAGCAAGAGCCAUACUAAGCCUAUGAACUAUCUGUAUCCCUUAUUAUGGCCCUGGGCCCUGUUGUUGGUCCUGGUGCAACAAGUUUUGUUAGACAUAGCUGUGAUUGUGUGUAUCUAUUAUUGUUUCCUAUUUCUGCACCUUGGAGUGGCAUUUUUUCUAACCCUCCCAUUGUAGCAAAACACAGCUAAUGGAGCAACACAUGGACCAGGAAGCAUGUUUUUUUAACGAUGGUGAUGGUAGUAAAACUAGAAUUUUCUUUUUGCCAUAGUCAGCAUUGCAUCAGAUAACUUGGAAGCAAAACUUCAUUAUACCAAUGCAGGUAUGUGCGCUAAGUGAAAUUUGAUGAAUUUACUAUCUUGAAUACUAAUAAGGUGUGCAGUUUUGUAGUUUGGACUUUCGCUGUGAGAGAUUAGUGAACUUGUUGCUGCAUGCCAGAUGUUUACAAGGUCGUUACACUGAUGACAGUAGAACCUGCAACUUGUCUAGCGUGUACUUUAUUUAGCUCGGAUGUACAGAGAAAAGCUUUGUCCGUAUAAGAUUAUGUAAUAUUACCCUCAACGAUAAACAAUGAACAAACAAUUGUGAAUGAGAAUUUGUUGACAAUGUCUAAAAUAAUGUUUUCCAUUUAAACUUAUUUAGAAAAAUGAACCAUUAUGAUUUAUCUUGCUAUCAAUGCAUGAAGCAAUUAUUUGAUCAACCUGAUGAAAUUGAGGCUAUGGAAGAGGAGUCACGCAAGGCAACCGGGUGCCAGAUGUGCUAAAAUUAAGGCUCUGAAGAGAAAUCACGGUAGGUU
rnacentral:lncRNA from 1 species